CAAUUAGCUAAUUACCCCACCAACAUUGAGUUAAAUCCUCGGAAUUUGAUCUAUUGAGAUGGAUUAAUUUUUUUUGGAUUUGUGUCUUUAAGAGUUUCGUUAUUAGUUAACAAUAAUUCACCGUUUGACAUCCAAAGAGUAUUCAUCUAAUCUUGUGAAUUUUUGGAUGUUACCUUCGAUUAAAUUUUAUUUAUUUUUCAUCUAUUCUGUUGCAUGUACCUUACCAUGCAAUCCAUUAAAGAACUUUUGCUAUCCAAACACUUGGCCUUUUGAUUCUUCUCACGAAGAAAGAGCACUACAUUGGUUGAUAAUCUGAAAAUAACUAAUGCCUCCAUUGCACAGAAAAAGAAAUCGAUCUUCAGUUGUGUAUCCUGUAUUCGAGUAUGGACUCAGUCUCAAUCAAAAAGUGCUGUCGAGUGGCCUGAAAAUAGAUUUCAAAUUUCAGUUGGUUAUGAUAUUUAUUCAAUAAUCUGAGUAAUUUGCACUUGCAUGAAUGCAGGGCAUUACAGAUUUCACGAAUGAUUCAACUUGGAACAAGCUACAAGCUACUCAACACUGGAACUCAUAUUUCGACCUUAAAUUGUACUUGGAUUUUUCGAUUUGAUUUAACU